rnacentral:rRNA from 1 species
CCUACGGGAGGCAGCAGUGAGGAAUAUUGGUCAAUGGGCGCGAGCCUGAACCAGCCAAGUAGCGUGAAGGAUGACGGCCCUACGAGUUGUAAACUUCUUUUAUAAGGGAAUAAAGUGAGGCACGUGUGCCUGUUUGUAUGUACUUUAUGAAUAAGGAUCGGCUAACUCCGUGCCAGCAGCCGCGGUAAUACGGAGGAUCCGAGCGUUAUCCGGAUUUAUUGGGUUUAAAGGGAGCGUAGAUGGGUUGUUAAGUCAGUUGUGAAAGCUUGCGGCUCAACCGUAAAAUUGCAAUUGAUACUGGCAGCCUUGAGUAUAGUUGCGGUAGGCGGAAUGUAUGGUGUAGCGGUGAAAUGCUUAGAUAUCACGCAGAACACCGAUUGCGAAGGCAGCUUACCAAGCUGCCACUGACAUUGAUGCUCGAAAGUGUGGGUAUCAAACAGGAUUAGAUACCCUAGUAGUC